CAGCCAUAUUAGGUGUGAAGGCUUCAAGGGCCGUUCGUUGGUUUUCCAUGCCACGCCUCUAAGUCGGUGUAUGUCUAGUAUUGUCUCCCCACUUAAAUGCCGGUGUCUGUUAGACUCGAAAGUCGGCAAUGACAAAGGAAAUGUUGCAAUGUCUCAUCAUCUUCCCCACAUGCCCUGUCUGUGCCAUCAAUUGCUAAUAAUAGCAUCGUCUUAUCGCGAUCCAUAUCUCCCCGUAGAGUUUUCGUCGUUCUACCUACCGUUUCGUUGUUCCACAGAGUUACAUAAGCGUUCCCUUACCUUGGACUGCAUCGCCCCGAAACCCUUCAUAGCACUUGCUUAAAAAAUGAAACUCUUUGAAAGUUAUAUUGUUUUUUUAUAUACUUUUUUUUAUUAUUUUACGUCUUUAAUGACAUUGCUCGAGUUAAAAUAAAAACAAAUUUACUUAUAUAUGAAA
rnacentral:sRNA from 1 species